rnacentral:lncRNA from 7 species
GGAUAACUCCUUCUGCUCUGGAAUAGAAGAGUUAACAGUCCUGAAGGCCAUGUCUACUUUGAACAUCCCUAAAAGACCUCAGUAGUUUUGAUUCAUGGUUUAGAGCUUUACUUGCUUCUGUUCCAUGUUUAAUGAAUUUAGAAAUUCAUAUACAUCUACUAAAACAAGAGCACAAGUAGUCAGGUUUGAUCUCAGCCUCCAGUAUAUUUUCUCUUACUCUGUAUUAUUCACCUUUUUCUGCUUCUGUGAAUUCAGGAAGAAAAAUGUUAUAUUUUUACAUAAAGUACUUUUAAUCCAGAAUGAAUGAGAUUCUUGGGGGAAAGAAAUCUGGUAGUUGAAGCUCUGGAUAAAUCUGGAAGGCCAUACCACCAUUGAUGAAUAAUUCCUUGUAGAGAGAGCAUAAAAUAACACCAGAAAUAGAGUUAUUUUAGGGUAGGGCCAGAGGACACCAAAGGAUGAUUAUCACCUCUCCUAUGAAGAGAGGCUGAGGAAGCUGGGCUUGUUAAGCUUACAGAAGAGAAAGCUCCAGGGAGACCUUAUAGUGACCUUCCAGUAUCUAAAUGCAGCUCCUAAACAAGAUGGAAGCAGCCACUGUUGUUUGUUUUUAUAUUUAGAGCAAAGAAACACAAACAUCCUUACCAUCAAGAAGGCUAGGCGGGGCAGUACUGAAGGAUCAUUCUAGCAACUCCUGAGAUGCAGAACCUUCAGUGACAAGAGACAAGAGGCAGUCUUGUAAUUACAGCUCUGACCUGAAGGACAUGCUCUCUCCAAGUAUGACUUCAUACAGGUAGUAAGACCAAGAACUGCAUUAAAAAACAGGAAGAUUGGCCCUAGGCAGACAGUAAAAGCCUGAUUUGGAAAGUUAUUGUCUGGAGAUUGUAUUUGCAUAACAGCAAAUAAAGUCAACCUACAUUGUCCAGUGUUGAGGGAAAAAUUACCUUUGGAGAAAAGGAAGGCAAUUUGCCCUGCUAUGAGUCAUCAGACUCUGCUGUGCUGAAGGAAGAAGACAUUUUUGAGGAAAAGGUUGCUGGCAUAUAUCUACUGUCGGGGAGAAGCAACAUAUAGUGUGGGAAUGGUCAUGCUAGGAGAACUGUCAACAAAUUGGGAAAAAAACUGUGGUGAAGGGAUAUUCAGAAAAUCAUCGUGAUUCUCUGCAAGAUCCUUUGAGGAACUCCACUACAAGAAAACAAAAAUGAUAUACUCUAGAGGGGUGAUAUUUUUCUAAUGGAUCUCAGUGCUUCAUCAUCUAGUUUGCCAGCCCACGUCAGCCAUGAGAGUAUAUUUGGUACUGGUGCAUUUUUCCAUCUGUGAUUAAAAAUAUAGAUAAUGAAGAAACUGUUGUCUUACUUUAAGUGCAAAGAGAACAGAACCAGAAGCUGUGCUUUAUAGGAAGCAGGGGGAUGCUGCAAUAUUUAAACUUGAACUACUGCAGACCAGCUAAAAUGCCCUUCUUCCUUCCCGUUCUCCUCACAAUGGAGGACCAUGAAGCUGCCUUUACUUGCUGAGUAACUCAGAUUCCUGUGGAGGAGUAAAACAGCCUAAAGGGCUGUAAGGAAAUAUGAGAGCUCUGCUGGACAGAAACUGUUGGAUGGCAUUGAAAGUUUACCGUCUUUCCAGACAAAAGGAAGAGAGCCCGUUGCCAGCGGAUGAGUAAUGGGCAUGGCCUCCAGACAAUACCUCCUAUCCAGCCCUAAAUCUACAUGGUGUUCUUAGGCUUCCCGGCUUCUCCAAAGCAACCUUUGUCUCUGCUCUGGGAGACCAAAACUGUUCAUUGGGUGAGUGGGGAAGCAGCCAAGAAGGGAAGGCUCGGUGACAACAGUUGCUCAGUGCUCACUGCCCAAUAUCUGCCUUCUUGCUAUGCUACUAUAAUAGUUGGAAACCCAUCAACAGUCAGGCAUCUCCUAUACAAAUAUGUUGCAGACCAUCUGUAUAGUUCCAGUUCCAGAAAAUUCCAGUAACUCACUAAGUUUUAAUAGUAUUUUUUCCCCCCUCAUUAAUCUGAUGGGCUGCCCUGAGAUAAGUGAUUAAAGCAAAAGCCUGCCAUAAUUACCUCAGAGCUAAAGCUGCACAGAAUUUGCCAAUUCCUGUAUUUAUUUUCUUAUGAGGAACUUGAAAUAGGCAUUUUCCACUGUUAAUUUUUAGGUUCUGCUAAUGCUUUCCUUGUCAGAAAAAUAUUUUGGUGAAAAUGAUUGCGAAUGUAUUCUAUCAAAAACUUGACCAGACGAUUCUAAAGUUUUUCCAUAGUCUCUGUGCACUUGUUGAUGUUACAGGGACCAGUACAUGAUUGUUUAAUUGUUUCUAUUAAAGUUCCUAGAGCUAAUCUGAAUUGAU